UGAAGGUCAACUUGCGUGCGCAUGCGCAUAUCCAGUGCUUUCUGUCCUGAUUGUCUGCUUGCAAUGACAUGACCGUGUGUGCAUGAGGUUCAGGAAGAAUCAGCGAUGCUGAAGGACGCGCGAGCUGAAAAGUCGAGGAAACUCAGGGUGUUUUUUUUUUAUCAACCUGGAAAAAAAAUGCUGAUUCCCCAGUGCCGUGCACGAGACUCAGUAGUGAAGGACGCGCGAGGUGAAAAAUCAGCUUGAAAAAUGAGAAGAAGCAACCAAAGGUCACCAGCAAGAGUAUUUCUUGUUUUCCAGGAAGCUACAGUUAACCUCAGUUUAACACACACCCCUUAAGGGUAUUGUGAUAUCAAACAUUUUCAAAACAACAACAAAAAAAAAAUCAAAAAUAGAAUAAAACAAAUGAACACCUGAAAUGCA